rnacentral:rRNA from 1 species
GUGCCAGCCGCCGCGGUAAUACGGAGGGUGCAAGCGUUGUCCGGAAUCACUAGGUUUAAAGGGUGCGUAGGCGGAGAGAUAAGUCAGUGGUGAAAUUUUGCGGCUUAACCGCAAACUUGCCAUUGAAACUGUUUUUCUUGAGUAUGGUUGAGGUAGGCGGAAUGAGUAAUGUAGCGGUGAAAUGCUUAGAUAUUACUCAGAACACCGAUCGCGAAAGCAGCUUACCAAGCCAUUACUGACGCUGAGGCACGAAAGCGUGGGUAGCAAACAGGAUUAGAUACCCCGGUAGUCC